rnacentral:rRNA from 1 species
UACAGAGGCCUCGAGCGUUAGGCGGAAUCACUGGGCUUAAAGCGUGUGUAGGCGGACUUCUAAGUACCUUGUGAAAUCCCACGGCUCACCCGUGGAACUGCUCGGUAUACUGGUCGUCUUGAGCCUUCUAGGGGCGAGUGGAACAAACGGUGGAGCGGUGAAAUGCGUAGAUAUCGUUUGGAACGCCAAUGGUGAAAACAGCUUGCUGGGAGUGUGCUGACGCUGAGACACGAAAGCCAGGGGAGCAAACGGG